rnacentral:rRNA from 1 species
UGAGGAACAUGACCUUCGGCGGGGGAUAGCCGGCCCAACGGCCGGGUAAUACCGCGUACGACCUUUCGGGGACAUCCCCGGAUGGUGAAAGCAGCAAUGCGCCGAUGGAGUGCCUCGCGGCCUAUCAGCUAGUUGGUGGGGUAACGGCCUACCAAGGCGACGACGGGUAGCUGGUCUGAGAGGACGACCAGCCACACUGGAACUGAGAUACGGUCCAGACUCCUACGGGAGGCAG